rnacentral:lncRNA from 1 species
GGUUGCGGUGAGGUGAGCAGCUACUUACAUGGUGGUUGAUGUGUUUUUUUUGUUUUGUUUUGCUUUUGUUUGUUUAUUUUUUGUGAUGAAAAUAGUUUAAAAUUUUCGAACAAAAUGAUUUAGAAAGAUUUCUUUUUUUUUAAUUCUGCAUUUAGUUUCUAGGUGUGCCAGCUGCCAUUGUGGGUGGCGGUGGAAAUCCCUGGAAUCUCUGAAAGGCUCAUUAAUUUUAUGUUUUGAGGAUAUCAUGGUGAAGAGUUUUGCAAAGAUCUGCAUAAUUAGAGCUGAGCUGACAUAGGGGUGGAUGCUCUGUACCUGUUUGUCAAGGGGCUUUACUUCCAUCUACAGGGCAGAUCUACAGUCCUCCAGUGUAAAGCAAUAACAUUCAUAACAAAAACUUGGAAAAAGAAAGUGACGAGAAUCAUUUGUGACCUGAUCUAUCUCACAACUCCAGGAUAUCUUUUUUAAAUGGUGGUUCUAACUCUACAUACACAAGCUUGCAAUGGCAGUCUGGUUUGUGGGACCAUUCUUAAGCCUUUAAAGUGGUCCAUGAUUCACCUUUUGGCUCUCAGUAGUUUCAUACUCCAUUAGGCAAGUAAAUGGACCUAUCUUAUUUCUGGCUGCAUCUACCUGUGUGUUACAGAGCCCAGCCAAAGCCUUGAAACUCUAACAGAAUCAUUUCAUGUAAAAGUGUUCCCUUUUGAAUCGUCAGCGACAUUUUCUACUGUAGGCAGUAAACUGUAAAAAGACGUAGUGUCUCUAAAUGCUGGUACAAUGUAAAAGUCUAAUCACAAAUCAUUUUUAACAGUCUUUUUGCUGUGCACAGCAUAAAAAAACAGACAUGACUCUGUAGUGUAAACCACCGCAUGGGCUUCAUAUCACUUCAAAGUUUACAGAUCUGGGAUUGCACCAUUAAAGCUGAGGUUUUGGAGCAACAUUUGCUGCCUUCCACACAUAAGCCUGCAGUGCAGACUUAUCACCCAUUGAAAACAUCUAGAGCAUCAUGACAGAAACUGUUACGCAGCAGACAUCCCAAACUGAGCAACAGCAGGACAGCAUUUCACUUUCAAGUCUCCAUAACCUACUGUCUUCAGUUUCCAAAAGUUCACAGUGUUGUUAGAAAAAAGUGUUAGUAAUCUCAGAGCAAUUGUCUAUUGCCAUACUGUCUCUCAACACAAUAAAAAAAGUCAAGAAUAAAUGUUUCUAGGGUGCCUGAUCUAUCACCUUGUGACAGAGUUGAGGUCUUCAAAUAACACAGUUAUUAUUAAUAGGAAUACCAAUAAUGGCUGCAUGAAAACAUGACUAAGGCAGGGAGUCUGUCACCCAGCAGAGCAGAGGACACACCUCGUCCUUAACUGUGACCAUAAGGACUAAAGUGUGCUGACUUUUAAGAGAGGAAGGGAAGGGCUUAUGAAUACAUCCAUAAAACAUGUUUUGUUCACCUCACACGGCCUGUCUUUUCUGCACACUGACUUUGUCCCUCUUUUAUCCCCAACCUGACAAAAUUCUAUUAAAUCAGGGGAUAUAACAUUCAUGCACUCAAGAUAAUACUGUGAAGAAAAAAAAAAAGAUCUACAGGGCUUUCCAUCGCCUCCGAUAUCAGCCACAGACCAGCUUUAAGGUUGGAGCUAGGGUUAGGGUUAGGUGUGGGGUUGGAGCUAGGGUUAGGGUUAGGGUUAGGGUUGGAGUUAGGGUUAGUGUUGGAGCUAGGGUUAGGGUUGGGCUUGGAGCUAGGAUUUUUCUGAGUGCAAUGAAGCAACUCCCGAGUCUCUAGGAC